UGGCUCAGAUUGAACGCUGGCGGCAUGCCUUACACAUGCAAGUCGAACGGCAGCACGGGAGCUUGCUCCUGGUGGCGAGUGGCGAACGGGUGAGUAAUAUAUCGGAACGUACCCUAGAGUGGGGGAUAACGCAGCGAAAGUUGCGCUAAUACCGCAUACGAUCUACGGAUGAAAGUGGGGGAUCGCAAGACCUCAUGCUCAUGGAGCGGCCGAUAUCUGAUUAGCUAGUUGGUAGGGUAAAAGCCUACCAAGGCUUCGAUCAGUAGCUGGUCUGAGAGGACGACCAGCCACACUGGAACUGAGACACGGUCCAGACUCCUACGGGAGGCAGCAGUGGGGAAUUUUGGACAAUGGGCGCAAGCCUGAUCCAGCAAUGCCGCGUGAGUGAAGAAGGCCUUCGGGUUGUAAAGCUCUUUUGUCAGGGAAGAAACGGUGGACUCUAAUACAGAUCACUAAUGACGGUACCUGAAGAAUAAGCACCGGCUAACUACGUGCCAGCAGCCGCGGUAAUACGUAGGGUGCAAGCGUUAAUCGGAAUUACUGGGCGUAAAGCGUGCGCAGGCGGUUUGGUAAGACAGAUGUGAAAUCCCCGGGCUCAACCUGGGAAUUGCAUUUGUGACUGCCCGACUAGAGUGUGUCAGAGGGGGGUAGAAUUCCACGUGUAGCAGUGAAAUGCGUAGAGAUGUGGAGGAAUACCGAUGGCGAAGGCAGCCCCCUGGGAUAACACUGACGCUCAUGCACGAAAGCGUGGGGAGCAAACAGGAUUAGAUACCCUGGUAGUCCACGCCCUAAACGAUGUCUACUAGUUGUUGGGUCUUAAUUGACUUAGUAACGC
rnacentral:rRNA from 1 species